rnacentral:rRNA from 1 species
UACGGAGGGUGCGAGCGUUAUUCGGAAUCACUGGGCGUAAAGGGCGCGUAGGCGGCCUGGUAAGUCAGGGGUGAAAUCCCACGGCUCAACCGUGGAAUUGCCUUUGAAACUGCUGGGCUUGGAUCCUGGAGAGGGUGGCGGAAUUCCUGGUGUAGGAGUGAAAUCCGUAGAUAUCAGGAGGAACACCGGUGGCGAAGGCGGCCACCUGGACAGGUAUCGACGCUGAGGCGCGAAAGCGUGGGGAGCAAACAGG